UACGGGGGGUGCAAGCGUUGUCCGGAUUUAUUGGGCGUAAAGCGCGUGUAGGCGGUUUCUUAAGUCUGAUGUGAAAGCCCUGGGCUCAACCUGGGAAGUGCAUUGGAUACUGGGGGACUUGAAUACGGGAGAGGGUAGUGGAAUUCCUAGUGUAGGAGUGGAAUCCGUAGAUAUUAGGAGGAACACCGGUGGCGAAGGCGGCUACCUGGACCGAUAUUGACGCUGAGACGCGAAAGCGUGGGGAGCAAACAGG
rnacentral:rRNA from 1 species